CCAGUGUUUCUCCAGUUACUUCUGGAAGUCCUGAGAGGACAUCUCUUGAUACAACUCACAAAGAAAGAUUCACAAUAACAAAAUGGGAUACACCAUACUUUCUCCUCUCUAGCUCUAGUUCAUUUAGUAACAUUGCUCAGGAAAUCUCAGUCACUGCUGCCAUUGCUAUUUCCCGCUGAUGACCCCUCAACGUUGUGACAUAACACGAAAUAUUCAUUUUCUACUUCCUUCAUGCUGUGACCACAACCUCACAUGCUUUGUGAUUCACUUCCUGCUGUGACACUUCCAAUGGGAACUGCCCGGGAAAUUCGAUGUCAAAACUACACUGCAUAUCCACUUGAUACAGCACUGGAAGUUGAGAUGAUACCUAUGGAGUUGGCCUUGAGGGCCAAUGGCAGAUUCCUGGAGACACUGAUAACGUUUAAAUCCCUGUACAACUUCAGAAAGAGUGUUCUGUCAUUACCUUUACUGGGUAGAAGGGAAAUUAAGGUUAGAUCAGGAACUUACCCUAGAGCACACAGUCCACAACUGGUAGAGCUGGAAUUUACUCUGAAGUAAAUAUGAUUCUUUGAAAUGGUUGUCUUUCAUCAACAAAAUGAACAGCAACAUCUUUUUGCUUUUAGGGGCUGUGUUCUGUAUUGACAAGUGCUAAGUGGCCAAUAUAGCAAGUCCCACGUUUGAGGUAGUCAAGUAUGGAUGUGAGCUUUGGACUGUGAAGAAAGCUGAGUGCUGAAGAAUUGAUACUUUUGAACUGUGGUGUUGGAAAAGACUUUUGAGAGUCCCUUGGACUGCAAGGAGAUCCAACCAGUCUAUUCUGAAGGAGAUCAGCCCUGGGAUUUCUUUGGAAGGAAUGAUGCUAAAGCUGAAACUCCAGUACUGUGGCCACCUCAUGUGAAGAGUUGACUCAUUGGAAAAGACUCUGAUGCUGGGAGGGAUUGGGGGCAAGAGGAAAAGGGGACGACAGAGGAUGAAAUGGCUGGAUGGCAUCAUGGACUCAAUGGCUGUGAGUUUGAGUGAACUCCGGGAGUUGGUAAUGGACAGGGAGGCUUGGCGUGCUACAAUUCAUGGGGUCGCAAAGAGUCAGACAGGACUGAGCGACUGAACUGAACUGAACUGAACUGAUAGUUUGAUUUAUCUGUGUAGCAAAUGAAUGUCCAAGAGGAGAAAAAGAAGCUAAGAAAUGUUGAUAUAAAUCAUCAGAUUUAUCCAGUAAAGGUAGAAUGGUUUUCCUCAGAAAAAAAUGAAAUAAAC
ensembl:lncRNA